CAGUAGCCACGGUAAUACGAAGGGUGCAAGCGUUAAUCGGAAUUACUGGGCGUAAAGCGUGCGUAGGCGGUUUGUUAAGUCUGCUGUGAAAUCCCCGGGCUCAACCUGGGAAUGGCAGUGGAUACUGGCAAGCUAGAGUGUGUCAGAGGAUGGUGGAAUUCCCGGUGUAGCGGUGAAAUGCGUAGAGAUCGGGAGGAACAUCAGUGGCGAAGGCGGCCAUCUGGGACAACACUGACGCUGGGGCACGAAAGCGUGGGGAGCAAACAGGAUUAGAUACCCGCGUAGUCCCUGUCUCUUAUAC
rnacentral:rRNA from 1 species